CGGCACGCCUAACACAUGCAAGUCGAACGAAGUAGCAAUACUUAGUGGCAGACGGGUGAGUAACAUGUAGGUAUCUGCCCUAUGGCCUGGAAUAACACGAGGAAACUUGUGCUAAUACCGGAUAAGUCUUUACAGAGAAAGCUUUAUGCACCAUUGGAUGAGCCUGCACUUGAUUAGUUUGUUGGUGGGGUAAUGGCCUACCAAGACUGUGAUCAAUAGCUGAUUUGAGAGGAUGAUCAGCCACAUUGGGACUGAGACACGGCCCAAACUCCUACGGGAGGCAGCAGUGGGGAAUCUUGCACAAUGGAGGAAACUCUGAUGCAGCGAUGCCGCGUGAGUGAAGAAGGCCCUUGGGUUGUAAAGCUCUUUCGUCGGGGAAGAAAAUGACUGUACCCGAAUAAGAAGGUCCGG
rnacentral:rRNA from 1 species